rnacentral:rRNA from 1 species
UACAGAGGGGUCAAGCGUUGUUCGGAAUUACUGGGCGUAAAGGGCGCGUAGGCGGCCUGUUAAGUCGAACGUGAAAUCCCCGGGCUCAACCCGGGAACUGCGUCCGAUACUGGCAGGCUUGAAUCCGGGAGAGGGAUGCGGAAUUCCAGGUGUAGCGGUGAAAUGCGUAGAUAUCUGGAGGAACACCGGUGGCGAAGGCGGCAUCCUGGACCGGCAUUGACGCUGAGGCGCGAAAGCCAGGGGAGCAAACGGG